UACGGGGGGGGCAAGCGUUGUUCGGAAUUACUGGGCGUAAAGGGCUCGUAGGCGGCCAACUAAGUCAUACGUGAAAUCCCUCAGCUUAACUGGGGAACUGCGUGUGAUACUGGAUGGCUUGGAUUUGGGAGAGGGAUGCGGAAUUCCAGGUGUAGCGGUGAAAUGCGUAGAUAUCUGGAGGAACACCGGUGGCGAAGGCGGCAUCCUGGCCUGUUCUUGACGCUGAGGCGCGAAAGCUAGGGGAGCAAACGGG
rnacentral:rRNA from 1 species